AGGGUAACCGACGGUGGACAUAUCGGAAGUGCGAAUGCUGACAUGAGUAGCGAUAAAGAGGGUGAGAUACCCUCUCGCCGAAAGACCAAGGGUUCCUGCGUAAAGCUAAUCUGCGCAGGGUAAGCCGGCCCCUAAGCCGAGGACGAAAGUCGUAGGCGAUGGGAACCAGGUUAAUAUUCCUGGGCCAGCCAGUAGUGACGGAUCGUGAAGGUUGUUCACCCUUAUUGGAUUGGGUGGGCCGCUAAUCGGUUCCUGGAAAUAGCUCUGGCAUAAGAUCGUACCCUAAACCGACACAGGUGGACUGGCAGAGCAUGCCAAGGCGCUUGAGAGAACGAUGCUGAAGGAACUCGGCAAAUUACCUCCGUAACUUCGG
rnacentral:rRNA from 1 species